AAGACCUUGCGCUUUUGGAGCGGCCGAUGCCUGAUUAGCUUGUUGGUAAGGUAAAAGCUUACCAAGGCUUCGAUCAGUAGCUGGUCUGAGAGGACGACCAGCCACACUGGGACUGAGACACGGCCCAGACUCCUACGGGAGGCAGCAGUGGGGAAUUUUGGACAAUGGGCGCAAGCCUGAUCCAGCCAUGCCGCGUGAGUGAAGAAGGCCUUCGGGUUGUAAAGCUCUUUCAGCCGGGAAGAAAAGGUUGCGACUAAUAAUCGCAAUCCAUGACGGUACCGAAAGAAGAAGCACCGGCUAACUACGUGCCAGCAGCCGCGGUAAUACGUAGGGUGCGAGCGUUAAUCGGAAUUACUGGGCGUAAAGGGUGCGCAGGCGGUUUUGUAAGUCAGAUGUGAAAUCCCCGGGCUUAACCUGGGAACU
rnacentral:rRNA from 1 species